rnacentral:rRNA from 1 species
CCCCUACGGGAGGCAGCAGUGGGGAAUAUUGGACAAUGGACCGAGAGUCUGAUCCAGCAAUUCUGUGUGCACGAUGAAGUUUUUCGGAAUGUAAAGUGCUUUCAGUUGGGAAGAAAUAAAUGACGGUACCAACAGAAGAAGUGACGGCUAAAUACGUGCCAGCAGCCGCGGUAAUGGGG